GGUUGGUUCGAUGGUAGUGGGUUAUCAGAACUUAAUAACAUUAGUGUCACUAUAAUUGGUAUAUAAUUCCCCCCCCCCCACUGCUAAAUUUGACUGGCUAAAA
rfam:Otolemur garnettii contig076167, whole genome shotgun sequence.